GUCAUUGGUGGAAACACUUAUGCCUUGGAUUGAUGACAUGACGCACAUCCAUCCAUCCAUCUACCUCUCCAUCCCACAUCCAUCCAUCCACCUAAAGAAAAGAAAAAAACCCACCCAAUCCAUCCAUCUCUCUCUCACUUCUCCCUCGUUAUCUCUCUCAGCUCUCCUUCCCGAUCCCCUCUGUCUCCGCCGCCGGCGCCGCCGCUCGAUUCCGGCCACUGCUGGCAUGCUUCGCCACCGUACUUGCCACCUACAGCUCCCCCUCGAGCUGAUCUACCUUCUCCACCCGCUCGAUUUGCUUAUCCUUCCUCUCGCGCGCGCGAGUCCCCCUCUCCCUACGCGACUCCAUGCCGCCGCCGCCCACGCCGGCGGGUUCCGGCGAUUUCCACCAGGGCGCAACAGGCUUCCGCGCUCCCCUCUCACCGGGCCUUCAUCCAGUAUGGCCAGAUCCGCCGGGCGUGGCCCCUACCCUCACCCACGGCUAGGGAUUUGGCGGCUCCAACGUCGGCGUGGCUCAAGUAGGUCACCCAUCACGCGGACGGGUCGAAGCGCUGGAUCUCGGGACAGGGCGGCGCGGAGGCCUUCCUCCCAUAGGAUUCCGAGCUCGACGAUCCUAGCGGCUGCCGUCCUUGCCCCGCUCGAGGAGGAGGGCCGCACCUAGCAGGCCACCAAUGGCCUGUUCUGCUCCUCGUCUUCCUCCACUGCUGUCACACCCCACAAGCAGAUCGGGGGAAUUUCAGACAAGGGAUUCGAUCUAGGGUUCUAACUUGCUCGUAUUAACUCGAAUAUGCUAAAGUAUAUUCCUCACAGAGGGAGGUUUAGGUAUACAUUGUUUGGAUAUUUCUGGGAAUCGAAUGAAUGGCUACAAGCGCACAGUGCUGGCUGUUAUAUAGCCUCGACAACAGCAGUGACCGGCAACCUGCUGAAACGGUACAGGGAACGGGCGAGCGAUCCUUUCUACUUGACGCUUGACAGCCGACCAAUAACUGAACUUCUUCUGCACCUGACAAUGCCCCCUCGAGAAAAUGAACUUGUCCUCAAGGAGUCUCAAUUCUCAACGUCCUUGGCGCCAACUCUCAACUGUUUGCUUGAAGAAAGACGGAAAUGUGUAUUUGAUGAAAUCUGCAUCUUCCCACGAGGAAUCCUCCGGAGGUAGGUUCGCCCAUUGGACCAACCAUUGCACCACGGGCAGGUUGUUUCUCGGAAUUUGGCACAUUUGCAAAACCAGUGCCGGUUCCUGCUUGAUAUUGCCCUCUUCUGUUACCAAUGGUAAAUCAGCGCAAGGAACAACCUGAGGACCAAUAUGGCGCUUUAACUGACUGACAUGGAAAACUGGGUGGAUCUUCGCUCCCUCAGGCAAUAUGAGAUGAUAGGCCACAUUUCCCACCUUGUGUAGCACCCUAAAUGGUCCAUAAAAUUUGCUUUGGAGUUUAAUGUGUGUUUUAACUCCAAAAGCAUUCAGAAGAUAAGGUUGCAUCUUCAAAUAUACCAUGUCGCCUUCCUGAAAAGAUCUUUCCCUGCGUUUGCGGUCAGCAAACUUUUUCAUCCUCUCCUGAGCACGCUGCAAGUUUUCCUUCAGAACACCCAACAGUUGCUGUCUGUCUGUUAACAGUUCUUUAGUUUCAUUGUUGUGAAUGACAUAUUCACUGAGUUGUGGAGGAGGAUACCCAUAAAGAGCCUCAAAUGGGGUCUUCUUCAGAGAAGAAUGAAAUGAACUAUUGUACCAAUAUUCAGCCAUUGGUAAAUGUUGCACCCACUUGGUUGGAUGAGCAGAAGUAAGACACCUGAGAUAGUUUUCAAUGCAUUGGUUAACCCUCUCGGUUUGGCCAUCUGAUUGUGGAUGAUAAGCUGAACUGUAUCUCAAGUCAACUUUCAGUGCUGCAAAAAUAUCCUUCCAUAGCUGACUAGUGAAAUUUUUGUCUCUGUCAGAUACUAUGGCAAUAGGAGGGCCAUGCAGUUUAAUGAUAUUGUCAAUGAAUACUUGAGCCACUGUCUUCACAGUAAAAGGAUGUGACAGAGUAAGGAAGUGUGCAAACUUUGUGAGCCUGUCAACAACCACAAAAAUCACUUCCUUCCCUUGUGACUUUGGAAGUCCUUCUAUGAAAUCCAUACUCAGAUGAGUCCAUGCCAUAUCAGGAAUAUGCAGAGGGUUAAGUAGCCCAGGAUAAUGGCAGGUUUCCCCCUUAUUUUUCUGACAAACAUGGCAUUCUGUCACCCAUUUUUCUACAUCAGAUUUGAGGCCAGGCCAAUAGAAAAUUUUCUUUAUCCUUUCAUAAGAAGCUUUUCUGCCUGAAUGCCCUCCCAAAGCCGAUGAAUGUAAGGCUUGUAUGAUUUUGGAUUUGAGUUCUACAUCAUUUCCAAUGUAGAUUUUGCCCUUGUGCCUUAUGAGACUAUUAUGCAGAGAAUCAUGUUGGUAUGUAUGAUUAGGAGCUAGCAGCAGUUUUUCCAGUAACUCUUUGCCUUUUGCAUCCUUUUGAUAAGAUUUUUCCACUUCUUUUGUCCAUUUUGGUGUGAUCAAAGAAAUUGCAUUUAACUGAUCUUUCCUGGAUAGUGCAUCAACUACUGUGUUGUCCUUUCCUUUUUUGUAUUCCAACUAAAAGUCAAACUCCAGUAAUUUCAACAUCAGCUUGUGUUGAAUUCCAGUAUGUAAUUUCUGGUCAGUCAUGAACUUUAAACUUUGAUGGUCUGUUCUAAUGAUCAGUUUGUGUCCUACCAAGUAGUGUCUCCACCUUUUUAAAGCUUCUACUAUAGCCAAAGCUUCCUUCUCAUAUGUGGACAAUGCAGCAUUUCUUGGGCACAAGGAGGAACUGUAGUAAGCAAUAGCUCUGCCAUUCUGCAUCAUUACUGCUCCCAAUCCCACACUAGAUGCAUCAGUCUCAAUGACGUAUGGCAAAGAGAAAUCAGGUAAAGCUAAAACUGGUGCAGUAAUAAGUGCAUUUUUUCAGAGCUUGGAAAGCCUUAUCUUGUGUUACUGUCCACUGAAAACUGUCUUUCUUCAAGAGAUCAUGCAAGGGUCUUGCAAUUGGUCCAAAUUUUUUAACAAAUCUUCUAUAAUACCCACAAAGACCCAAAAAUCCUCUCAAUUGAUAUACAGUUGUAGGGGUUUUCCAGUCAGCUACAGCCACAAUCUUAGCAGGAUCAGUAGCAACACCCUCACCAGAAAUUAUAUGACCCAGAUAUUCCACUUGGUUAACUGCAAAGAGGCACUUGGAGAGUUUCACAUAUAAUUUCUCCUUGCUGAGCACAAUUAGUAUAGUUUCACAUGUUGAACAUGUUCUUCCAGAGUUUUGCUGAAAAUCAAGAUAUCAUCAAAGAAUACCAACACAAAAACCCUGAGAUAAGGGGCUAGAAUGCUGUUCAUGAGGGCUUGAAAUGUGCCUGGGGCAUUUGCAAGGCCAAAAGGCAUUACCAAAUAUUCAAAAUGCCCAAAAUGAGUUAUGAAUGCAGUUUUAUGGAUAUCCUUUUCAUUCAUCCUGAUUUGGUGGUAUCCAGACCUUAAAUCAAGCUUGGUAAAGUAUUUGGCUCCUUGCAGUUCAUCCAGAAAAUCUUCUAUACCAGGUAUAGGGAAUUUGUUUUUAAUAGUGAGAGCAUUGAGGUUUCUGAAAUCCUGGCACAAUCUCCAAGAAUUAUCCUUUUUAGCAACUAAAAUAGCUGGUGCGGCAUAUGGACUAUGGCUUUCUCUGAUGAUUCUGUUGGACAGCAGCUUUUGCACUUGAUGUUCCAUUUCAUGUCUAUGUCUGUGAGGGAUUCUGUAAGGUCUGGAAGAGGGGGGAAUUGCACCUGGUUGUAGAGGGAUUUCAUGAUCAAAAGCUCUCACUGGUGGCAGUCCUUCUAGUUCAGCAAAGACAUCCUGAAAUUUCUGUAACAAUUCUUGCAUAGGAACAGGCAGUUCAGUGUUGCUCAACAACUUGUAUUUGUUUUCCUCUGCAUUUUGUUUCAACAUAUCUAUCUCAUUUUCUUUUACAAUGUUGAACUUAGAAGCACUGUUCCUUGUGUCAGAUUUGUUCUCAACACUACUGUUUUCUUGCCCUGUUUCCACACUGACAGUGUUAGAAACAUUCUCCCUUGUAGCAGGUGUUAUAGUAUCAGAUACUGCAGUUUUCUGAUGUUUUUCCCUUAGAGUAUUGAUCAGGAAUAAAGCAUAUCCUGGUGCACCUUUAAGGAGGAGCUUGUUCAUCUCUUUCUCAUCCACCUCAGUUGCAUUUUCCAUAACAUCACAAGCAGGAAUUGUGACAGGUAGUACCCUAUCUUUGUGAACAGUAAUUGUUCUUUGGAUGUGAUCAAAAGAUGUGGGGCUAUGCUUAGCUAACCAGUCACAACCCAAAACCACAUCAUGACCAGGAAUUUCCAAUAUUCUAAAUGUCUGAAGGAACUUCUGUUUGGCUGUAGUGAAAUAAGUUUUUGGAAUAUAAGCUCCAGACCACAAUUUUCCUCCACCUGCAACUGCCACUGAUCUGCUUUUGUCUUUCAAAAUUGUGCAAUUUGUUUUGAGGGCAAACUGCAAGUUCAUGAAAGUGGAGUUACUUCCUGAAUCAAUCAAGGCCACAACCUGUUUUCCUCCCACCUGAAUUAAUAUGGACAUGGUGUUAACACUGUCAGGGUCCAUAGCUUGUGCAGAUAUUUUCAUGCAUUUCUCCUGAGCCUCCUCACUUUCUUCUGCUUCAUGUUCUGACCCAGUAUCCUGUUCCUCCCCUGGUUCUGUUGGUUCUUCUCCUGUCAACAUGUUGAUCACAGGAGCUUGUUUGCAUUUAUGCCCAUGGAACCAAUUAUCACCACAUCUCCAGCAUUUACCCGGCUCUCUGGCUUUUUGUACUACUGCAGGUAAUUUCUGCUCAGGCAGUUUAGUUUCAAACCCAGGAGUUUUGAAAGAGUUGUAAGGAUUUUUCUGGUAACUGUUUGGAAACGAAUUCUUUUUGGGGAUUAAGGCCUGCUCUAUAUCCACAACUAACCAAUAAGCUUCAGUCAGAGAAGGGGGCCUCAAUGGUCUGAGUUGGAAUUUGAUAUGAGGUUUCAUUCCAUUUACAAAACAUUUGAUGAACCACUCUUCAGACAGUGAAGGGUUUUCUUCUUGCAUUUCUGCCAUCAGGGACUCAAAACUUAUCUGUGUACUCAGAAAUGGACAGGUUUCCUUGUUUGAAUGCAGUAAACCUAUCAGUUAGAUCAUAGGAGCUUGUGGGAGAAAAUCUUUUGAGUACCUCUUCACAGAAUUGUGGCCAUGUAGGAUGUUUCUUCAGUAGACCUGACCUCCUUAACCAAACAUCAGCUCUGUCAGUGAAGUAGAGUUGUGCAAGGGACACUUUAUAUUCAUUUGGAGCUCCAGACAUUUGGAAGUAUUUUUCAGCCUGUCUGAUCCAUCCUCCAGGAUUAUCACCAUCAAACCUUGGGAAAUCCAUUCUAGGACCCUUGGUAAUGUUCUUUAGGAACUGUGUUCUCAUUUCCUUCUCAUAAUUCCUGUAGUAUUCCUCCCAGAAUACAUUUGUUUUAGUUUGAUUUGGCUGAGGAAUGAAUGUUGUUCUAGCAGUUUUCAUUUGGGCAGUAGGGCUUGCAUUUUCUGAUGGGAUCAAAUGUGGGUUUGCUCUGUUGAACCCAGGAGGAACUUAUUUCUGUCCAAUUUGUAUAGGAGGCAAUCUAGAAGCACUAAAUAGUGUAUACUGUCUUGUUUUUUCCUGUUCCAACAGUAAACGCUUCCUUAAUUCCUCUGUGAGUAGCCUUUGCCCCUGUUCGACUGAUUCCAUGGGAUUUUCAAUGGUUGUCUGAACAAUGGGGGGUGGAUCUGUUCUUCCCCCUUGUUGCUCUGUAACUCUGGCUGUUGGUUGAGCAGAGGAACUUGCUCCUUGAGCACCCAAAUUCUUCAGAACAUCAGUAAUUGUGGUUAACUGAUCACUGAGGGCAAAAACUGCUUUCUGAACUGUUGAGAGUACAAUAUUCAUGUCAUCCUGCUUGGCAUUUGUGAGACACACCUCUUUCCUUAACAGAUCAACCUCUUCCCGAAGCCCAGUAGUAUCCUCUCGAUUUGUCAGCACGUCUUCCUUGAGCUGAAGAAGUUCAGCGAGCUCAGACUCGUCGAUGCUUGGCUUCGAACGCCCCAUGAUCACGCUAACGGAGAGUAAUUUUACCACCGCAACAACGGCAACCCGAACCGCUUACGGAUCCUGCCGCCGCCAAAAUUUACGCCACCGAACAGCACCACUCGUGCGCGUACCUGGAAUUUCACUACCGAGACGAGGUGUCUCAGCAACCAGUACCGCCCUCCGAGCUGCCGACGAACAAAACACCGCCGCCUGCACCGCCAAUUCCCCGUCCCACACCCGUGAACACCGCCGCCGUCACCAACCAAGGGUGGGAAGGGAGGGAAGAAAAAAAAAUUAGCACGAAUACGCGCGAUCGCACCGCCGAGGAAAUCGAUGGCUCAUGAUACCAAUUGUCACACCCCACAAGCAGAUCGGGGAAAUUUCAGACAAGGGAUUCGAUCUAGGGUUCUAACUUGCUCGUAUUAACUCGAAUAUGCUAAAGUAUAUUCCUCACAGAGGGAGGUUUAGGUAUACAUUGUUUGGAUAUUUCUGGGAAUCGAAUGAAUGGCUACAAGCGCAUAGCGCUGGCUGUUAUAUAGCCUCGACAACAGCUAAACGAUAACAGUGACCGGCAACCUGCUGAAACGGUGCAGGGAACGGGCGAGCGAAGCGAGCCGUCGGAUCCUUUCUACUUGACGCUUGACAGCCGACCGAUAACUGAACUUCUUCUGCACCUGACAACUGCCUGAACCACCACGCCUUCAACAGCGGGCUGCUGCAGCAUCGACCGGUGAUCCUUCCUUCCUCGAGUCUUUGCUUGCAGUUAGCCUUUUAGGGCCAAUCAAAUGCAAUGUGCUAGUUUAGUUUGCCACAGUUUGGUGACACUCCAAUCUGAACAUGUCCUUGUAGCUUGGAGUGCUUUGGGUUUCAGUUAACUCGUGGGUACUUGUAUAGAACAGAAAAAAGAAGAAGAGAUCAAUUCGGUUUCAGAGAGAGAGAGACGUGGAUGGUUCAGUCAUUUAUAUAUACAUGUAUUAUUGGGCUGCAGCAUGAAUGAAUAUGCCAUGUUCAGCUUCAAGAAUUUAUGAAUCGAACUAUUUGGUGAGCUUUAAUUAAAAGGAAGAUUUUACGAGCUCUAGACAGUAGCAAUAACUAAAAAUCAAUUUGGCCUGCAUCUAUCCUAUAUUCUAGAAACCGAGGGUUAGCUAGGUUUGAUACGUUUAUUCAUAGAAAAUGAGAGUAAUUCAGUAUAUGUUUUCCUCUUUUCAUUUCAGAGUGAUGGUAAAUUCUUAAUGUUCUUCCGUUUUGGCUUAUUCAGAGAACAUAGCUAGAUUCUUGUCUUGUGCCUUACUGAAACCCAUUUGAGGCAAUUAACCUCUUAAACUUGUUGUUUCUAAUUACUUAUAGAUAUGCAUGUAUGGUCUCUCAAACUUUUUGCUACUAAUUACUGAAUAAGUACUUUUAUUUGUAGUCCUUGGCAAUGCUUGUGAAUCUUCUGCCACGCGAGACUUUUUCUUCAUAUUAAAGUAAUAUGCCCCUCGGAGAGAUGAAAUUUAUAUCAAACGAUUCUAAUUAUUUACAAAUAAUGAACUGUUUCCACAUUUGUUCAUUACAAUAAUUAUUCUAGUUAUAUGCCCCCCGGAGAGAUGAAAGGUUAAAAGCUACUCCAUCCGUCCCAUAAUGUAGGACGUUUUUUGACAGUAGACUAGUGUCAAAAAACAUCUUAUAUUAUGGGACAGAGGGAGUACUGUAUAAACAAGGGAUGGAUGCCUCUGUAUUGUCUUGCCUUUUUACCUUUAGGACAGGGCCAGGAGUAGUAGUAGUACUAUAGUAAAUAACUAUUUGCUCCCUUAUGUUAUUAUCAAAAGAACCCAUAAUUACUGUAAACUGAUUUGCUUGCACUCUAGGAGUCAAAAGUCAAAAGCAUUUUAGAUAAAAUCUUCCAAAUCAGAUUCCUUUUUUCUUGGCAUGUGUCUCUCAUAUGAUGCUUUCACACUGUUAUUUCGAUUGUUACGUGUUUGGAUUGCAUGCCUUAGGUGAUCUUGUUUCCAAUCUUUGGUAUGAAGCUAGCUAAGCACGCGCUUCUAUUAUUUCUAAAGACUAGUGUGUAAGCAGUCAACACAAUUUACAUGUAAAUAUUUUGAGAUAUGGUAUCAUUUCUAGCAGCAUGUGAUUCACUUGCCAAAAAAGUACCGUACUCACAUAUGGAAUAUUUGAAAAUUGAAAACAAGCAAACAAAAUGCAGCUUAUGAUAGUCUAUUGUAAUUGAGACUUGUUUAACUUUUGUAGGAAGCAAACAAAAGGACGACACUCACAAGGAACGAAGAAGCCAGCUAUCCUUGUCAACUUGAUGUUUUAGCUUUCAUUUUGUACAACUCAUCUCCCAUACUUACAUCUUUUAGUUGUCCAUUUGUGAACCUGAUGUAUGGUGUCUUGGUGGUUAUGUUUCUAACAAACUAAAGUGCAUAUAUGUGAUAUAAUUAGUUAAUGGAAUAAAAGCUGAUUGGUGCACAUAAUGUGAACCUGAUAUAUGGUGUCUUGGUGACCGUGUGAACUUGUCGUGCUCGUGUUGGAUAUGACUGAACUUUGUUUGGACUAUAUGAUGGAUUUGAUGUUAUAUAAAUUUUGAAAUUAA